rnacentral:rRNA from 1 species
AGUGAACGCUGGCGGUAGGCCUAACACAUGCAAGUCGAACGGUAGCACAGGAGAGCUUGCUCUCUGGGUGGCGAGUGGCGGACGGGUGAGGAAUACAUCGGAAUCUACUCUGUCGUGGGGGAUAACGUAGGGAAACUUACGCUAAUACCGCAUACGACCUACGGGUGAAAGCAGGGGACCUUCGGGCCUUGCGCGAUUGAAUGAGCCGAUGUCGGAUUAGCUAGUUGGCGGGGUAAAGGCCCACCAAGGCGACGAUCCGUAGCUGGUCUGAGGGGACGAUCACCCACACUGGAACUGAGACACGGUCCAGCCUCCUACGGGAGGCAGCAGUGGGGAAUAUUGGACAAUGGGCGCAAGCCUGAUCCAGCCAUACCGCGUGGGUGAAGAAGGCCUUCGGGUUGUAAAGCCCUUUUGUUGGGAAAGAAAUCCAGCUGGCUAAUACCCGGUUGGGGUGACGGUACCCAAAGAAUAAGCACCGGCUAACUUCGUGCCAGCAGCCGCCGUAA